rnacentral:miRNA from 1 species
GAGAGAGAGAGAGAGAGAGAGAGAGAGAGAGAGAGAGAGAGAGGGGAUGAGGGAGUAACAAAAGUGGAAACAAUUUUAUUUAGUUUCUAGUUUUUAUUUACACUUUUGUUACUCCUCCCUCCCAUCCUCCCAUCUCAUCUCUUCCCUCUCAAACCCAUU